GAGCGUUUUCUACAGGCUUGCAUUCCAAAAGGAAGGCAAUAUUAGAGAGAUGCAGGUUAUUUGCCGUGAGAGUGAUGUGCCUAUCAGUACCUGUGAUAUACAUACCAUGAGUGCUUUGACUGCAUACACUAUACUGGACAAAGUAUGGAUUAACCUACUCUAUUGUUCACUCACAUGUGUGUCAUUUAUGAAGGCAGCUCUGAAUAUCCAUGGCUUAGAAGAGAAGGACCAGGGAUUUGUCAGGAUAAUGAUCCUCUGAGCAGCAAAGCAGUCAAGAGCUACACACAUUCCUAUGUAAUGAAUAGUUUGAUUUAAGAUGGAAGGAUUUGCAAAGGAAUAAGAACAUCAUGUGGCUAUGAAGAAGUGUGCAUAUGCUUAUUAUAUGUCAUGCAGAAUGUUCACUAAACUUCUUGAGGAAAAUGGGAGCGCAGCAGUUAAGUCUGGGCUA